AUUGAACGCUGGCGGCAGGCUCAACACAUGCAAGUCGAGCGGGGAUAGGGUGCUUGCACCUGAUUCCUAGCGGCGGACGGGUGAGUAAUGCUUAGGAAUCUGCCUAUUAGUGGGGGACAACGUUCCGAAAGGGACGCUAAUACCGCAUACGUCCUACGGGAGAAAGCAGGGGAUCUUCGGACCUUGCGCUAAUAGAUGAGCCUAAGUCGGAUUAGCUAGUUGGUGGGGUAAAGGCCUACCAAGGCGACGAUCUGUAGCGGGUCUGAGAGGAUGAUCCGCCACACUGGGACUGAGAUACGGCCCAGACUCCUACAGGAGGCAGCAGUGGGGAAUAUUGGACAAUGGGGGGAACCCUGAUCCAGCCAUGCCGCGUGUGUGAAGAAGGCCUUUUGGUUGUAAAGCACAUUAAGCGAGGAGGAGGCUUACCUGGUUAAUACCUGGGAUAAGUGGACGUUACUCGCAGAAUAAGCACCGGCUAACUCUGUGCCAGCAGCCGCAGUAAGAC
rnacentral:rRNA from 1 species